ensembl:lncRNA
AAAAAAAAACAAAAAAACAGGAACGUUAAACUUGCAGCCUCUCAUGUGCAACAGAGAGUUUCAACAUUUUGAUUGUGCUAAAUAGUAGCUCAGUCAGAGUGAGAUACUAAAAGAAAAGUAUUGUGAUGUUUUUAUUUAUCUCAUUCUGAUGGCACCCAAUUCACUGCAGAGUAUCAACUCCAAAUCUGUUCCAGUAAAGAAAAAAACUCUGAUGGUGGGCUGAUGGUGACGACACGUUCGAGCUGCAUUCGGUGAAGCAGAUUCGGGUCCUGGAGCAGAGGCAGGCCCAGCUGAGAGGGCGGACAGCCGCGCUGGAAACCUCCCGGGCUGACACUCACAAGUCCAGGGCCCGGUGCACCCAGGACGCGAUCUGCCCAGAUGUCCUUCACUCCGGCGCUGGGACACCACGGACCCUGGGUGCAUCUGCAGUAGAGGACGCGAGCCAGGCCCCGGGCGACGACCUCUCCCCCUCCGGUCUUCGAGAUCUCCA